rnacentral:rRNA from 1 species
UACGUAGGUGGCAAGCGUUGUCCGGAAUUAUUGGGCGUAAAGGGCUCGUAGGCGGUUUGUUGCGUCGAAAGUGAAAAUCCGGGGCUUAACUCCGGACUUGCUUUCGAUACGGGCAGACUAGAGGUAGGCAGGGGAGAGUGGAAUUCCUGGUGUAGCGGUGGAAUGCGCAGAUAUCAGGAGGAACACCGGUGGCGAAGGCGGCUCUCUGGGCCUUACCUGACGCUGAGGAGCGAAAGCGUGGGGAGCGAACAGG